rnacentral:tRNA from 1 species
GGGGGUAUAGCUCAGUUGGUAGAGCGCUGCCUUGCAAGGCAGACGUCAGCGGUUCGAGUCCGCUUACCUCCA